rnacentral:precursor_RNA from 1 species
GAGGACCGUAUUCAUGGAAGAGGAUUGAACAGAAGCAGAUGAAUAUAUGGGAGAUGAAGUAGACAGUAUGUUGGAUAAAUCUGGAGUAAAGAACCCAGCAAUUGGUGAAGAUGAGGAUAUAUCGCCUCAAGUAAAAGGAGAUGAAGACAUGGGAGAUGAAAUUGACAGUAUGUUGGCUACAUCUGGAGGUCUUUUCUCCUGAGAACACGGGACUCCAGCAUCUUCGGAUUCUGCUCUUGGAGGUGUGAGUCCCUGCCUCUCUGCACAGGGGAACUUAUGUCUCUCCACAUGUCCGCAAAUGUCUACCCAAGAUUAUACAUCUUCCAAAGGCUUUCAAAUACUUCUUUACAUAAACAAGGGGUUUGCCCCACAUCCUCUAUAUUGCAGAAAACAAGACUAGGCUCUACCUCUGUAGAUCAAGCACGACUGAAAUCCGUGCUCUCAAAAGAUGCUGGGGAGAAAGAGUGCCAUUCUUCACAAAUGCUGAUGUGUGCAGCUGAACAGAGCGUUGAGGAAACGUCAGUGAUUUUAUAACUACUUAUCAUGUUGGGAGAUUGUUGUGAUGAUUGCCUGGACUCUCAGAUGUUACACAGGCUGCAUCAUUGGACUGAAAGUGAAUGGCCCAUGUGUUGCCACUGAUGUGAGCCAUUUGCCUGUUGUGCUUCA